rnacentral:rRNA from 1 species
AGAUCCCUCAAAGAUGAUGAGGUUAAUAGGUUCGAGGUGGAAGCAUGGUGACAUGUGGAGCUGACGAAUACUAAUCGAUCGAAGACUUAAUCAA